rnacentral:lncRNA from 1 species
AUCCACCUGGGGCUGGGCACCCCUGGGAGCCUGGGCCAGCUGCGGCACAGGUGAGGGGGCACACCUGGGCACACCUGGGCACACCUGGGCACACCCAAAACACACCUGAGAUACACCUGGGCACACCUGGGCACACCUGGGCACACCUGGGGGGGCUCCUGAACACCGAGUGCGUGCGGCAGAUGCCCUGGCCCAAGGUUCACCUGCUGAGCUCGGCCCGCGUGACCUUUGACCAGAGAAUCUUCCAGAACACCUGGGGCGGCACCGAGCUGCAGGUGCAGACGGAGCUGGAGCGCGUGGAGCCCCCCAAUCCCCUCCCCCUCAUUUUGGGGGCGUCCUUGGGGGGGCUCCUCCUGCUGGCCCUGGUGGCGCUCGGCCUCUACAAGGUCGGGUUCUUCAAGCGCCGCUACAAAGAAAUGCUGGAGGGCAACGAGAGCCCCGGGGACCCCCAGGCCGCCAAUUAACUGCGAAUUAAUGAACAUUUUAAUUAAAAUAGUCAUUACAAAUUCAGAUUAAAUAGGCAUUUUAAAAAAUCCGAUAAAAAUUCGUUCAAAAUUCAUUUAAAAAUUCAUAAAAAUCCAUUAAAAAAUCAAAAUUUUGUUUAAAAAUCCCA